AAACCAUGUUGUGGGCAUGAGCUGACAAAAUCUUUAAACUGCUCCCAACUUUAGAAGAAUGUUUUAUCUUCCUUUUGGGUGAAGUUCAUGAUUGACUUCCUGAGGGU